rnacentral:rRNA from 1 species
GGGUUGUGAGGUUAAGCGACUAAGCGUACACGGUGGAUGCCCUGGCAGUCAGAGGCGAUGAAGGACGUGCUAAUCUGCGAUAAGCGUCGGUAAGGUGAUAUGAACCGUUAUAACCGGCGAUUUCCGAAUGGGGAAACCCAGUGUGAUUCGUCACACUAUCAUUAACUGAAUCCAUAGGUUAAUGAGGCGAACCGGGGGAACUGAAACAUCUAAGUACCCCGAGGAAAAGAAAUCAACCGAGAUUCCCCCAGUAGCGGCGAGCGAACGGGGAGGAGCCCAGAGCCUGAAUCAGUGUGUGUGUUAGUGGAAGCGUUUGGAAAGGCGCGCGAUACAGGGUGA